rnacentral:piRNA from 1 species
CCNGCAGGUAGCCAAGGGUCGCCCUCUC